rnacentral:rRNA from 1 species
GACGAACGCUGGCGGCGUGCUUAACACAUGCAAGUCGAACGGUGAAGGGGUCUGCUUUUGUGGGCCCUGGAUGAGUGGCGAACGGGUGAGUAACACGUGAGUAACCUGCCCGCUUCUUCUGGAUAACCGCAUGAAAGUGUGGCUAAUACGGGAUAUUCUGGGUCUGUCGCAUGAUGGGUCUGGGAAAGAUUGCGCCUUUGGGGGGUUUUGGUGGGGGAUGGGCUCGCGGCCUAUCAGCUUGUGGGUGGGGUGAUGGCCUACCAAGGCGGGGACGGGUAGCCGGCCUGAGGGGGUGGACGGUCACACUGGGACUGAGACACGGCCCAGACUCCUACGGGAGGCAGCAGUGGGGAAGAUUGAACAAUGGGCGCAAGCCUGAUGCAGCGACGCCGCGUGAGGGAUGGAGGCCUUCGGGUUGUAAACCUCUUUCGCCAGUGAAGCAGGCCUGCUCCUUGUGGGUGGGUUGACGGUAGCCGGAGAAGAAGCGCCGGCUAACUACGUG